AGCUCCAAUAGCGUAUAUUAAAGUUGCUGCAGUUAAAAAGCUCGUAGUUGCAUUUCCGAGGCAAGGGAUUAGUCCGACCUUUGGUGGGUAUUUAAUCCUCUUGCCUCGUCCUUGAGUGGUGCUUCUUGGUAUUAAGUUAUCGAGGAGAUAGCCGCUCAUCGUUUACUGUGAGAAAAUUAGAGUGUUCAAAGCAGGCUUAUGCCGUUGAAUAUAUUAGCAUGGAAUAAUAAGAUAGGAACUCGGUACUAUUGUGUUGGUUUGAGAACCAAGGUAAUGAUGAAUAGGGACAGUUGGGGGUAUUCGUAUUCAGUUGUCAGAGGUGAAAUUCUUAGAUUUACGGAAGACGAACUACUGCGAAAGCAUUUACCAAGGAUGUUUUCA
rnacentral:rRNA from 1 species